rnacentral:rRNA from 1 species
UACGAAGGGGGCUAGCGUUGCUCGGAAUCACUGGGCGUAAAGGGUGCGUAGGCGGGUCUUUAAGUCAGGGGGGAAAUCCUGGAGCUCAACUCCAGAACUGCCUUUGAUACUGGCGAUCUUGAGUCCGGGAGAGGUGAGUGGAACUGCGAGUGUAGAGGUGAAAUUCGUAGAUAUUCGCAAGAACACCAGUGGCGAAGGCGGCUCACUGGCCCGGUACUGACGCUGAGGCGCGAAAGCUAGGGGAGCAAACGGG